UUGUAAAUAGUUGAUUUGUGGUGUUGACAUUUCAAAUAUUUUAUGAUAAAAUAGAAUACAAGUGUUGUGUUGUUUUUUCCUCUUCUUGUAUAUAAAGCUGAUGGUGAGACAGGGACUCUGUCAGUCGAGUGGACUAGUCAGGGGGAGUUUAAAAGGCAGCACAUGUUACUUGGAUGUAUGCUGAAGACGGGUUAUUUUGGAUACCAGUUUGAAACGCAGAAACAGAGUUGAGCUGUUAACCCAUCUUUCAGGAGGAUCGAAUAUGCGUGGUUGUCAAGGAAAUGAGCUAGACUUCCUGUUCCUGUGGGUCCUGUGGAACUUUGCAAUUGUGGAUUUUCUAUAUUCUUAAUUUCCUCAACCAGAGAUGGUUUCUCUAUCAGCUGCGUGGGAUUAGCGGCUUUGCAUCUAUUCUGAACGUUGCUUCAUCUUACCAUGGCUUUAAUAUCGCCAUUACAAACCGCUAGAGGACAUGUGGUGCUAGGAGUUAGUGGGGUGUGUGGUGCCACCCACUUUACAACCACCAUGGGAACACACUUCUACCAUUUUACUCUACGCUUAAACAUGCUUCCUUCUUCGCUUUUCUAUUAUGGUUCACUUUGCUUUCGUAAUGUUUUCAGUGCUCACAUAUACUUAUUUUCUGUGCUUGCUUUUAACAUUAAUGUACUUCCCUGCAGUUUACAAUGCAUUCACUGUGCUUUUCCCAGACUCACUGGGCUCUGCCUGUUUUUUUUUACCUCUAAAAGUGCAUUUAAUAAUAUGAUAUUAGCAAUUCGAUUUGUUUUUGGAAUUAUAAGGAACGGAGAACACAGUAUCUUUGAACACAUGGGUUACUUAAUCACUUUUGCCACAUACUGCAUUCUUUUGAGGUUUCAGCAACCAAUAGUUGAAAUACACUUCAAAAUGACUAACAGGGCAAAGGCUGGACCCAAACCCACAUCCACAGACUUCCCAAGCAAGUGUUAUCGAUUCAUCCACUGAAGAAGGGACUGGGACAUCUACUGCUCCAGGUGUAUCAGCACAAACUGAACACAUAUGCAAUGCUUCUGUGCAUAAACCCAUCACUCUUUCUCGAGAUGUAUCUUCCCUUUGAGGACAAAAAACUAAAACAAAUGUAGGACUCUCCCAAAUACAUUUCUGUUUCCUAACCUAAUCUUAUGAAUUGUUAAUAAACAAUUCUCUAAACCUAAGAUUAUAAAAUAUUAAUAUUUCGUUUUUUUGUCAGCUAGGAUGUUAAUCAAUGAAACCUUAUUCAAACUGACAUAAAAUCAUAAUCUUAAACUUAUUUUUUCCUAGACAAGGAAUUGAAAAUGCUAAAUAAACUUCUUGCAGCUUUUUAAAUACAAAAUAGUGCAUUCCUAACCCAGACGUUAACCCUGUUCUAUCUAUUUUACAGCUUACAGAUAUGAGUCUGACCAUCAUUGAGUUCAUGUUCAUAUACUCCCAGACUCAAUAGCCUUUUACAGGACGAGUCCAUAACCCACAGAUCAACCACUGCACUAUUAAAUACUGCUUAGAUACUACGUUAGUGCCAAUUACUCGCAGACGUACACAAGUAGUACAAUUAUAAAGGCAUGGAAGUACCUAGUACAGAGUUAAUUGACUUUCUAACACUUAGUUAUUAUUUACUUGGAGUGGCCACUUGUGUACUAGUUAACUAUUGCUGAAAAAUAAUUGACUACUUUCAGAUUUAGACAACAGGCUGAAUUUAGGAUUAAGUAUUUGGUAACUUAGUACUUCAAAAUGUCUAGUAAAUGUAAGCUAUCCAGUUUCUUGUAUGAUACAGUAGUGUCAGCCACAGAAAUGGGUCCAUAUUCCAAAGGACAUCCAUUCGCCCUUGUGUCUGUGUCCCAUGAGUGCUGUAUUUACACAUAACAUUGCUCACCCCCCUGUGGCAGUGGUACUGUACAUGAGGGCAGGCAGGUGGAGGAGUGAGGGGGCAGUUUACUAAACACAGCAGCACAAGCCAAUAUGGUUUUGAGGAAAACUAUGGCCCGGCUAUCUGUUGUUAACAGUGUGUCGGUAAACACAGCAUCAUUAGGAGUGUGUUUUGGGUUGAGAGGAUGACCUUUACAUGGAAUGCUUUCCUUUCAUCCAGAUUUGUUGUGUACUUUAGAGUAUGUACUGUCAAAACACAGCAGAAAACAGUACGAUGGGCCAGAUUUAACAAGAUCUUUACAUCAAAAGGGAAAAUAAAGUUUGGCCAAUAUUCUAUUACUAAAAUAGAAUUUUAGUAAUAGAAUAUUAGUCCUACACUAUAGGAAUCCUGAAAGAUUUUGUAUACCUGUUUCAGAAAGAGAUACUCAGCAUAACGUAGGUAGGGCAGCAGUGUGGAGUAGUAGUUAGGGCUCUGGACUCUUGACCGGAGGGUUGUGGGUCUAAUCCCAGGUGGAGGACACUGCUGCUGUACCCUUGAGCAAGGUACUUUACCUAGAUUGCUCCAGUAAAAACCCAACUGAAUAAAUGGGUAAUUGUAUGUAAAAAUAAUGUGUAAAAAAUAAUGUAAUUGUAUGUAAAAAUAAUGCAAUAUCUUGUAACAAUUGUAAGUCGCCCUGGAUAUGGGUGUCUGCUAAGAAAUAAAUAAUAAUAAUAAUAACUUGCCAGGGUUAGAAAAUAUGGACCAGAGUCAAAUAUCUGUCAAUACAGAACUCCACCAGAGGGGGCAGUAGAGACAGUGAAGUAUGGCCUCUGCAGGUGUUAAGUGUGGACAGUGUCAGACCUUGAAGGCCCCAACGUUUGGCAUCACUUCAAAUCUAGGGUGGUUCCUCAAUAUUUAUAUUACCUUCUUUUGUGAACAUACAGUGCAGUUUAUAUUUUUAGUUUAAACAGCUCUAAGGUGUAUAGUGCAGUGUUUGUUGAAGAGAUAGCACUGGAAGGCUAGUGUGUCAUCAUAAUCCACAGUUUUGAUGGAUUAUUAUACAAUACUACAGGCCAAAAAUGCCAUCCUAAUUAUACAGUUUGUCAAAAUAGUAAAUGGGAAAAUUUGCAUUUCAUUUCCCAUAUGGUAAUCAUUUACUGUGCUGAUUAUCCUUGUGCCAUACCUUACCGUAACUUAACCAGACGUCUCUGUGAUUCAGUGGUUACAUGUUCUCAUACUUUUACUUUUGCUGUACCUUUCCAUGAUUUUAUCACAGAAUACUGUCGUAAAGUUUGUAAAUGGAAAGUUUUUGGCCAAGAGGUUGUUAUGCAAGUCUAUCCAAGUGGAAAAUCACUUACAUUUUUUAUUGUGUUUACAGCAUAACACUGGCCAUUUACUUUUUGAUUUAUUGUACAGGGAUUUUUACAGAGGGAGGAAACUAUUAUUGUGUUCUAGAGAUGAGUAAAGUAUUAUUUGUUACCAUACAUCAUCUCUUCUUAAAAGAUGGGACUGGGCAACCAAACAGGUUUUUUGCGUCCCUACAUCAGUGCAGUGCAGUCAUUUUCAGAGUCGUGGCAUGGGUAAAACGCCCUGGCGCUGUUAUGUGUUUUGGGUUGGUUUGGAUUGUUGCACAGCCUGCUGGCAGGAAAGCAGGCGGCAUGUCACUGUGUUUACUGUGUCAACAGCAGCGUGCUGCUUGGGCCAACAACACCGCCUUGUUCCUGAGCACCCAGCCCUGUGAGGAGAGAGAAGCGGCUUAGGCCUGCACAAACAGAACCCCGAGACAGACCACGACUGUGGUACAGAGAGACAGGCAGACGGACAGCUGGGCCUCUCACUGACAUUGUGACGCCACCCAAGAGUCACUCUGCUAUCCGAGCCACCAGAGGAAUACUUGGAACCCCAACCUAUAGAGCAGCUCUUUAACCCCCCAAAACACAUUUCUGUUCCUCCAGUAUGUUCCAGUUCCACCUAACGAGCUACAUUAUUAAUUCAUUAUCUAACUAGAACAAUGGAAUCUGAGGAGUGGAGUUUGCCAGCCAUGUUCUUCAAUGGCCAAUCCUCACUUGAUUAUUCGUGCAAUGCAAUCAUAGCUUACUGUAGUUUGCCCUGUUAUUUUACGAUGCUUUCCCAGAACUUUGCUUUAUGUCACGCUUGUCUUUGCGUUCUCCUAUGCUUUAGUGCUCUUUGGGUGCAUUCCUUCUUCUUUUUCUGAAAGAGUGAGUGUGCUUUAUCACGCCAUUGUCCUCUCCUGAGGAUGCUUGUGCCUUAAUUUGCUCUAACAGCUUUUAGUCUUACUUACAGUGUGCUUUAGAAAAAUACAACUUUGCAUUGGAGAAAAACUUAGCAAAUCUGCAACUUAAGCUUGCAUAAGUGAUCACAUUGUACUCAUUUUGUUCCAUUAUGCUAAACAGCAGUCAAAAGAAAUGUGCUUUUUUCUUCUUUAUAAGCUUGUUAAUACAACUAGAAUAAAAAGCAUUUAAUGAUAGGAAAUUAGUGACAGCUAUUUACUGCAAUUCCUCAUUAGCCCCAUUUUUGCACAAUGGAAAAAAACAUGAAUUAAACGUCUAAAAUGAAUAAGAAACAACUUAAUACUUAAUGCGAGCCCCUGAAUUCAAAGCCUUAGUUGUUUAUUCCUGUUUUGGUAACUUCAUUGGGUGUGUUUCUUCUUUUCUGUAAAGAAUUGAGCUAAUGACAAAUUAGAUUAAAUAGCUCUGAGAAUGUAGCCCCCUGUGUCUUAUUCACUACUAUUUAGUCAGCUUUUUAAUAAACAAAACCUUUUUUUUCUUUUGUUUUUAUGGCUCUUUUAUGCACCUGGCACUAUGGAAAAAACAAACUGGAGCUGGUCUCCAUGCUGAUCCGGUCUCCGUGCUGAACCGGUCUCCUCUCAAGCAGAGCAGGGCUUUGCUGCCCUGGUGUGGGACGUGUACCUGGCCCCGAGUGGUUCGCAGUACCAGCACGGUUAGUGCAUCCCUUGUGGAGUAGUUCCUGGAGUGCAUUGUGGUGUUUCUUAGUGGCAUGAAAAGUAUCUCUGCCGAGAGCAGCUUCUGCACCCAGCCAGUCUGAGAGUGCUGAUACCCUUGUGUAAGCAUUUUCUUUCGCUCUUCUGCAGGUGUGUGGAACAAUGCCACAGCUUUUUCGGCAGGUGUACCUGUUGAUAUAUUGUUUUAAUUACAACAUUGUGCAAUAAUUACACCCCUCCCCAGGCUACAAACACAGAUCCGUAAAUCUCAUCUACUGUAUAGAAAUAAGUGAUGGGCAUUUGGCAUUUGCUUCUGUAUUUAAUCUAUAAACAAUAGCAAGAGACAAAAAAAAAACAAAAAAAACAUUUAAAUGUCCAGCAAAUUUCCUCAUGACCUUCUUCAGGAAAUAUUUUUUAAAGGGGGUGCCUAUUUCACAAAAGUUAAAUUACAGCUGGGUUAAUGCAUGCCGAAAUACCAUACCAUAAUUAUUUGUUUAUUUUAGCAGACGCCUUUAUCCAAGGCAACUUACAGAGACUAGGGUGUGUGAACUAUGCAUCAGGUGCAGAGUCACUUACAACUAUGUCUCACCCAAAAGACGGAGCACAAGGAGGUUAAGUGACUUGCUCAGGGUCACACAAUGAGUCAGUGAUUGAGAUGGGAUUUGAACCGGGGACCUCCUGGUUACAAGCCUGUUUCUUUAACCACUGAACCACACAGCCUCCUAUGAUGAAUGGAAAUCAAAUAAAAUAUGUUUUGUGAUGCAAGAGGGUUUUGCAUCACCUGGAAUUCUAGGAUUGAGACAUGAUUUAAAACACAACAACUAUAUGAAUUUAGAUAUUUUACUUAACAUCAUGUAAUCAAAGAAACUACAAAAUGAUAUUGCAAAAGUCUACCGGAAGCCAUAAUAGUAGUACAGUAUUUCGUUAGAUUUCGAAAUGUCACAUUUUUCAAUUUUUGUCAGUUUUUGGAAAACAACAAAGCGCUAUGCAAUUCAGUCUGUUAACGUAACAUUAUUCAGCAGGUUGCAUUUGACUUAAUGAAGCAAAAUGUGUUAAUUCUAUAGGGUGAUGCAAAAUGUUUAGCCAUAGCUGUAGUCUAUCAGUUAAAUUGUAACACGAAAUAACAAGCAGAUUAAAGAAUGGAAUCAUGGAAAAGUGUGAAAUUCAAUUGAUCUCGUUGAAAUCGUGCUGUACCCUUGAGCAAGGUACUUUACCUAGAUUGCUCCAGUAAAAACCCAACUGAAUAAAUGGGUAAUUGUAUGUAAAAAUAAUGUGUAAAAAAUAAUGUAAUUGUAUGUAAAAAUAAUGCAAUAUCUUGUAACAAUUGAAAUCGUCCUAAAUAUUUGCUGGUGGCAGGUGGAUGUGUUAUCAGCGGUGUAGCACUGAGCCCCCUGAUAAGAUCUUUGCCUUUGGGCUCUCAAUUUCAAAUCACUGACAUGCAGUUCCUGUAAGUGCCUGCCUGGCACACAGUUUGAGUUGAAUUGGAAAGAUUAAAAAAAAAAAACUGCCGUAAAGUAUUGUAGUUUAUUCCAGAUUGAGCUGGAAAUGACAGGCAGCAGCUUAUUAAAACAUGCUCCUUUUUAUUAUGGGUUACAUCGUGACAAUAUCCAGCUGUGACCGUCUCUCGUGUGUUUGCAAAAUAAGCCAUAGCAAGCCAUUCGAGCUAGUAAAGGUGGUUACCCAAAGUCUCUUAAUCUGAGGAGCUUCCUUUUGGUCUGGCUCCAGUGAGGUGCCAGUCUACCUCAAGCAGUGUAUAGUAGUAUCCCAGUAAAAAAAUUGAAAACAACUUUGCCUGUGGAACUUGCUUGAGUGGUCUGAUGUAUGCAAAUACUGGACAGCAAAUAUGUGUAAUUCUUACACUAAUGGCAGUUAACCAUCUAAAUCACAAUUACAAGGUGAAUACUGUGUUUCCAAAGAGAUAUAAGCCCUGACAUGUGCUUGACUCGGCAGGUCUGCCUUACAAAACCAAACAUAAAGGGACCAACCCCCCCACCACCCCCACCCGCCGAAGGCUUGAAACAACAAACAAACAAACUUAUGAAUUAAUACAUGCUGAUUAACCUAUUAAGGACCAGUCUUGAAGUCUUUUUUGUCGGUGUCAUGCAAUUUUUUUUUAUAAAGGUUGAAAAGAAAACCUGCUACAAAAGUGACAUUUACUUCCAUAAUGACACUUUGGGUGAUGUUAUGUGUAUUUAUGGAACGUCUCUAGAAGUAAACUCAGAAGAAAGCACCUUAAUGGAGACUAUUUUAACCCUUUCAGUCCUGACGGGACCUCAAGAUCUCACCUUAUCUUAGCACCGAGUUCUUAAAAAAAACAUUUUGUCCUGUUCCUGUAUAAAGGAGUUUCUUUUUUGAAUUAUAUAAAUUCAUUUUGCAUUCUUCAGCUUGACAAAAAAGCAACUGAGGACUGAAAGAGCAACACAAAUAAAAAGCACAGUAUUCGAGUGACUGUGAUAAGAAAUGCUCAGAGUGGCUGCAAACAGCAUAAAACAUGUAAGAAAAUUACAUUUCAAGCUACUUGCUUUUUAAGGAUUUAAACCACUUUCCUUACUAAAUGAUAACCCCAGAAAUGACAUUUAAAAGGAUGUUUGCAAGAACAUGAAUAUACUUGACUUUAAAUGUUUUAAAUGGAAAAAUCCUGCAGUAGUUCAUACAGAAAUGUACAAACUAAUUCAUAAAGCACAAACAAAAUUAAGCAGCUGCUUAGCUGCUACCGGUUUGAUAAAAAAAAUAAAUAAAAAUUUUAAAAAGCGUUAGUAAGUUACUACAUUUGUUUUGCAAUUCAACCCACACUAGCUUUUAAUUCAGCCCCUUAAGCGUGACAGCUAGGUUUUGAUGUGUAUUUGUUUUUACUGGACAUAUUCAAAGGUGUUCACUGUUGGCCUACACCAGUCAUGCCAGAAUAGGCCAAAACAUAAACAUUCCAUUUUUUUGGAAGCCAUGUUUCUAUGUUUCAUCAGCUUCAGUUCUUUUUAAAUGUGCAUUGCUGUUCUGCUGUGGACAAAAUAAAACAGGGGGCCUGUCAGAGUUACACCUGUCGUCUCACAGUGUUAGAUUCCAUCAAAUCUAACACAUGUUUAUACCUCUAUUGCAUAUUUGACAUUAGAGUGUAAACAUUUUACACUUCACUAACUUUUAAUACUCUAUUCAAACUACCUCAAUAAUGUGCAACCAUCACUUUUUAAAAAUGUGCCUGUUAGAGAUGUGUAGCAGGGUGUGACGGGGUACACCUCAGCCCUGUGUUUAUUUAUAUUAUUUUGUAUUAUUAUUAUUUACUGUUGUUAUUAUUUAAAUAUAUUGGGGGGAGAGAGAGAGAGAGAGAGAGAGAGAGAGAGAGAGAGAGAGAGAGAGAGAGAGAGAGAGAGAGAGAGAGAGAGAGAGAGAACAAAAUAACUGAAAAACACUCAUGCUGGAUUAAAAUCAGCAUGAUACUUAUUUUACUUAUUGUCUGUUUAUUUUGGCCACUGUGCCGUUUUAUUUUGUAGAAGUCCUUUGUUCGUUUGUUUUAUUAUUUGAUAAAUACUAGUGCAUGUGCGUCUCAACCGGCAGUACUUGUGCCUGACUUCUUGGUCUGACAUCACCACCCAGCCAUCCUGUUCACACAGGGUCUAUAAUGCCUGCUUUUCUCUGGUCUACUACAGCACUCUUCCUGAUUGAAGCUCUGCAUUUUGCUUUUUUUUUUUUAAAGAGAAAUGGUCAAUUCGAAUUAAUUCUGAUGUCUUCUUGCUUUUCAAUAAUAAUGAAUUAUAAUAGUUAUAAUAGUUUUUUUUCAAUGCACAUAAUGCAUUCGUGUUUAUAAUAAUACGCAUGCACGUUUUCAAUUGUAGGCUUUUGUGAAGAGUCCACAAUGUUGUAUGUAUUGCUUCUUGCUUCUGAAUAAUGAAGUCUUCUCAAUGCCAUUUAUUAAAGCCGGUUAACCCCUGAUAUGUAUUUCCACAGAGUGAAACCGCGUUGUGCUGUAUGAGACAUCAAAAUACAGUAUCACUAUCAUAAAAUUCCAGACAAUAACAAAAUAUACAAUUCACUUUCAAUAUAUGGUUCAUAAAUAAAAGGAAUACAUAAUUCAAAAUACCUUACUAGAUAAAAACCUGAGAAAAUAGUGAAAAGAAGAGAGAAAUGAUUACAAAAAAAGCUGAGAUUAACUUUAAUUGUAAAAGUUAGUUACAGAAACUAAAGCAAGUUUCCUGCAGUAUCACUAAACUGUGUCCUUCAUUGGCCUUGACCCUUGCCCACCAGCACACAGAACAGCCCUGCUACUCCCAGCCCACAUCGCUUGACUAUCUGAAUGAUCUCACACAGAAUGACAAUGGGCGGGAAGCCAUCGUGCUCACUUUGCUGAAGCGAUAAGUGGAUUUCACACACCAGUCAGGAGUUUAGCCCGUUCACAAGAGGGGUGGAUGACGGAUUCUAACAGGAGAGUGGGCAGCUCAAAUAAAUAGAAAUAUAUUAUGAAAUCAACAGACCAGUUUUCAGACUCAAAUAUGAAAAUUAGAAGGAAAUAAAAAAAAACAGACAUUUUGAUGUACAAAUUUCUUUUGAAGUUCUGUCACAUCGUAAUAGAUACUUGACAAUAGAUAUACAA